rfam:Triticum aestivum genome assembly, contig: Triticum_aestivum_CS42_TGACv1_scaffold_472623_6AL
UAGACAUUCCCUUCGUCUCGAAAUACUUUUCAUCGAAAUAAAUAAAAAGAGAUGUAUCUAGAUGUAUUUUAGUUUUAGAUACAUCUCUUUUUAUCCAUUUUGAUGACAAAUAUUUUUGGAUGGAGGGAGUAUUUG